rnacentral:rRNA from 1 species
UGGGGAAUAUUGGACAAUGGGCGAAAGCCUGAUCCAGCCAUGCCGCGUGUGUGAAGAAGGUCUUCGGAUUGUAAAGCACUUUAAGUUGGGAGGAAGGGCAGUAAGCGAAUACCUUGCUGUUUUGACGUUACCGACAGAAUAAGCACCGGCUAACUCUGUGCCAGCAGCCGCGGUAAUACAGAGGGUGCAAGCGUUAAUCGGAAUUACUGGGCGUAAAGCGCGCGUAGGGGGUUCGUUAAGUUGAAUGUGAAAGCCCCGGGCUCAACCUGGGAACUGCAUCCAAAACUGGCGAGCUAGAGUAGGGCAGAGGGUGGUGGAAUUUCCUGUGUAGCGGUGAAAUGCGUAGAUAUAGGAAGGAACACCAGUGGCGAAGGCGACCACCUGGGCUCAUACUGACACUGAGGUGCGAAAGCGUGGGGAGCAAACAGG